GUGAUCAAAUUGUAUUAAACCAUUCAUUCAAUGCCAGUCAUCCCAGAGACAAGAAAUUAGAACAGUUGAUUCAACUGUCUGAGAUCUCACUAUGGUACUCUCACGAUAUUUCCAAAACGUCCAUCCUUCCUUUAUUUAUGGAUUCCUUAUUCUUACAAGUUUGAUCUCAGUAUAUCCAGUGACCAAUACUGGUGAUUUUUUGGAAACGCGCAAUUCGACUCAACCAAAUCAUAUAAAUAACUCAAGGAAUUCAUCUGGUUUACACAAUCAAAGUGCUAAAAGUUUCUCAAUUCCUCAAGAACCAUUAAUAACAACAAUGGUGAUCUCCACAGUUGGUGUCCUAACAAAUGGUCUUCUUAUUGUUGUUAUUGUGAAGGAUCCU